GGAGGGAUUCCCGAGCGGCCAAAGGGAGCAAGCGGCCAAAGGGAGCAGACUGUAAAUCUGCCGUCUUCGACUUCGAAGGUUCGAAUCCUUCUCCCUCCACCA
rnacentral:tRNA from 1 species